UGGGGAAUUUUGGACAAUGGACGCAAGCCUGAUCCAGCCAUGCCGCGUGCGGGAAGAAGGCCUUCGGGUUGUAAGCCGCUUUUGUCAGGGAAGAAAUCUUCUGAGUUAAUACCUCGGGAGGAUGACGGUACCUGAAGAAUAAGCACCGGCUAACUACGUGCCAGCAGCCGCGGUAAUACGUAGGGUGCAAGCGUUAAUCGGAAUUACUGGGCGUAAAGCGUGCGCAGGCGGUUUUGUAAGACAGAGGUGAAAUCCCCGGGCUCAACCUGGGAACUGCCUUUGUGACUGCAAGGCUUGAGUGCGGCAGAGGGGGAUGGAAUUCCGCGUGUAGCAGUGAAAUGCGUAGAUAUGCGGAGGAACACCGAUGGCGAAGGCAAUCCCCUGGGCCUGCACUGACGCUCAUGCACGAAAGCGUGGGGAGCAAACCAGGAUUAGAUAGCCCUGGUAGUCCACGCCCUAAACGAUGUCAACUGGUUGUUGGGAAGGUUCCUUCUCAGUAACGUAGCUAACGCGUGAAGUUGACCGCCUGGGGAGUACGGCCGCAAGGUUGAAACUUAAAGGAAUUG
rnacentral:rRNA from 1 species